CGCAUCUCUUUCUCUUAUUCCUUUUUUUAUUCUUCCCUCAUCUUUUUCAGUAUUAUCAACGAUGUAAUUCUCUUCGUCUUCUCAAGUCGAGGAUAACAUCUCCAACAUGCAACAUCCCCAAGAAGAAAUAAAACUUAGGGGUUUUCAUGAGUAUAUGGAGGAACUUAGUGGUGCAACGCUUACAGGGAUGUGCUAAAAGGCUUGUGAAAGCUGCGCUGCAGGUAGCAGCAAACAAGAGGGAGCAAUGAGAUAUUCGGAUGUCAUUCUGAUGGGAGCACCAGGUGGUCGUACUAGUUUCCCUUGAUACAAACCUCGUGAGCAGGGCCAGCUUGAUAAAGGGUCUACUAUAUCCGUUAUAGAUGCGGGGCUACUAUACUUCAAACACUCUUUCUCCUUGUGCCAUACCCUGAACUGUGAUAUCUAAAUGGAAGGAUGUGCACUUGGGUUUCUAAGCGACAGAAAUAAGGAAAAUGAAGCCUGCUGGAAAUAUAGAUAGAGAGCUUCAAGCUGAUAAAGCUCGAAUUACAUGAGAACAGUUUCAUACCACUUAUUCAAUUUUAUUUUCUUGUUUCUUUUUG